CAGGGUUACUCCUGGGCCUAUUGGAUUCACUUCCUGACAGCAAAACAAACAGAGUGUGAAGCAGCUGACAUGUAAGUGCCACAUAAGGUCAGAAGAUUCCUGCCAGCAUGACGAGCAUUGCCAGCACCCUGACCACAAUAUGCACAACACCUGAACAGCCUGCAACACAAUUAGCAGUAUGACCUUACCGCCCGCCAUCCUCAAGAAGAAGGCGAUCACGUGUGUUUCCGUGGCGUUGUCCACUUGGCACGUGUACCUUCCCUCAUGGUUGCUGGACAGACUGUGCAGACUGAGGCUGCCUGAAGUGGACACGUCCUUCACCUGCUCUUUCCACUCCUCACUGAUGUUCUUAGCACCGUUACUCAUCUUGAGGAUGGUACGAUUGUUGAACAUCCAGACGACGCUCCUUUCACCAGUCAAGAAGGAACAGUUGAUGACGGUCUCUGAUCCAGAAACGCUGACAGUCGCUGAAAUGGAACCAAAGAAGGGUUACUCUUGGGACUCUUGGAUACACUUCCUGACAGCAAAACAAACACAGUGACACAUUUUGAAACACGCACCCGCAAAUCUCCUUGUCUGUUGUCUCUACCUUUACACUUCCGGUAAGCAAACAUAGCCACCAGACCCACAACCAGAACCAGCAACACCACGGCCAAGAUCCAUCGCUGACAUGUAAGUGCCACAUAAGGUCAGAAGAUUCCUGCCAGCAUGACGAGCAUUGCCAGCACCCUGACCACAAUAUGCACAACACCUGAACAGCCUGCAACACAGUUAGCAGUAUGACCUUACCGCCCGCCAUCCUCAAGAAGAAGUUGAUCACGCGUGUUUCCGUGGCGUUGUCCACUUGGCACGUGUACCUUCCCUCAUGGUCGCUGGACAGACUGUGCAGACUGAGGCUGCCUGAAGUGGACACGUCCUUCACCUGCUCUUUCCACUCCUCACUGAUGUCCUUAGCACCGUUGCUCAUCUUCACGAUGGCACGAUUGUUGAACAUCCAGACGACGCUCCUUUCACCAGUCAAGAAGGGACAGUUGAUGACGGUCUCUGAUCCAGAAAAGCUGACAGACGCUGAAAUGGAACCAAAGAAGGUGAGCCUCCUGCUGCUGUGGCUUCUAACGUGGCAGAUGUAGUCCACCUGAGAAGUGUUGUCCCCCGCCACGACCAGCCAGCCGCUGAUGCUGUAAAGUGUCUCCCCUGUGCCGUUGUCGACUUUCGUGGCGUUCUGGAGGGCGUGAGGAAGCAAAGGCUCGGUGGACCAGUUUGAUGACCUUGGACGAGUUCAACUCUGUCACCUUGUCAGGGUUACUCCUGGGCCUCUUGGAUACACUUCCUGACAGCAAAACAAACACUGUGAGACAUUUUGAAGCACGCACCCGCAAAUCUCCUUGUCUGUUGUCUCUACUUUUAUACUUCCUGUAAGCAAACCCAGCCACCAGACCCACAACCAGAACCAGCAAGACCACGGUGUGAAGCAGCUGACAUGUAAGUGCCACAUAAGGUCAGAAGAUUCCUGCCAGCAUGACGAGCAUUGCCAGCACCCUGACCACAAUAUGCACAACACCUGAACAGCCUGCAACACAAUUAGCAGCAUGACCUUACUGCCCGCCAUUCUCAAGAAGAAGUUGAUCACGCGUGUUUCCGUGGCGUUGUCCACUUGGCACGUGUACCUUCCCUCAUGGUUGCUGGACAGACUGUGCAGACUGAGGCUGCCUGAAGUGGACACGUCCUUCACCUGCUCUUUCCACUCCUCACUGAUGUCCUUAGCGCCGUUGCUCAUUUUGAGGAUGAUAUGAUUGUUGAACAUCCAGACGACGCUCCUUUCACCAGUCAAGAAGGGACAGUUGAUGACGGUCUCUGAUCCAGAAAAGCUGACAGUCGCUGAAAUGGAACCAAAGAAGGUGAGCCUCCUGCUGCUGUGGCUUCUAACGUGGCAGAUGUAGUCCACCUGAGAAGUGUUGUCCCCCGCCACGACCAGCCAGCCGCUGAUGCUGUAAAGUGUCUCCCCUGUGCCGUUGUCGACUUUCGUGGCGUUCUGGAGGGCGUGAGGAAGCAAAGGCUCGGUGGACCAGGUGAGUUGAGGCUUGGGGUAGAUUCCGCUUGAGCUGCACGUCAGAUUGUUGCCAUCUUGCUGGAUGUUGAUUGUGGUGACCGCAGCUGGAAGACAAACAAUGUUUUCUGGUGUCUGGUGUAACUCACGUCGUCACCUGAAAGUCCACUCACCUUCUACAUGGAGCUUGAUGAAUGACUCAGUUUUUCCACUGAUGGUUCCUACGUAGCACAUGUACCUUCCCUCAUCAGCUGCAACCACUUUCUUCAACAAGAGAGAAGAAUUCCCAUCUUUAAUGUGCUCCUUGAACAGUGAAGUCCUGUUCUUAAACUGUUUGUCCUGGAGUUUCAGCUGGUCCACACUGUAGUAGUAUGAAUGGGCAUAAAUGUCCUCCUUCAACUUCUUCUGCCAGUGUAUGACCACAUCUUGUCCAACAGUAAAGUUUGCCUGUAAAAGGCAGCUCUCAUUGAGACGACACCAAACAUCUUUGUCACCUGGAAAAACAC